AGCAGCCGCGGUAAUUCCAGCUCCAAUAGCGUAUAUUAAAGUUGUUGCAGUUAAAAAGCUCGUAGUUGAAUUUCGGGGUCAGCAGGUUGGUCGUGCCAAUGGUAUGCACUGGCCUUGCUGAUUCCUCCCUCUUGAUGAGCCGUAAUGUCAUUAAUUUGGUGUUGCGGGGAAUCAGGACUGUUACUUUGAAAAAAUUAGAGUGUUUAAAGCAGGCAAGCGCUUGAAUACAUUAGCAUGGAAUAAUGAAAUAGGACGUUUGAUCCUAUUUUGUUGGUUUCUAGGAUUGACGUAAUGAUUAAUAGGGAUAGUUGGGGGCAUUAGUAUUCAAUUGUCAGAGGUGAAAUUCUUGGAUUUAUUGAAGACUAACUACUGCGAAAGCAUUUGCCAAGGAUGUUUUCAUUAAUCAAGAACGAAAGUUAGGGGAUCGAAGACGAUCAGAUACCGUCGUAGUCUUAACCAUAAACUAUGCCGACUAGGAUCGGAUGAUGUUAAUUUUUUAAUGACU
rnacentral:rRNA from 1 species